CCUACGGGGGGCAGCAGUGGGGGAUAUUGCACAAUGGGGGAAACCCUGAUGCAGCGACGCCGCGUGUGGGAAGACGGUCUUCUGGAUUGUAAACCACUGUCCCCAGGGACGAAAAUGACGGUACCUGGGGAGGAAGCUCCGGCUAACUACGUGCCAGCAGCCGCGGUAAUACGUAGGGAGCAAGCGUUGUCCGGAAUUACUGGGUGUAAAGGGAGCGUAGGCGGGGAUGCAAGUUGGGUGUCAAAACUACCGGCUAAACCGAUAGUCGCACUCAAAACUGCAACUCUUGAGUGAAGUAGAGGCAGGCGGAAUUCCUAGUGUAGCGGUGAAAUGCGUAGAUAUUAGGAGGAACACCAGUGGCGAAGGCGGCCUGCUGGGCUUUUACUGACGCUGAGGCUCGAAAGUGUGGGGAGCAAACAGGAUUAGAUACCCGGGUAGUC
rnacentral:rRNA from 1 species